GCUCUAUUAUUGCCAUCUCUACCGUCUGCCCUCAGCCCCUCUGCCCUCUGCCCACGCCGCCGCACCUCCGAGGCAUCUGUGCACGUCGACAUGCCUUGCCCUCCGCCGCGCCUUGCUCAUCGCCAGUAAACCACGCCUCCGCCCUCCUCCAUCUGCUCACGGCGUCGUCUGCCCUCCGCCCUCUGACCACGCCGCCAUGCCACUGCCGUCCGCCCUCUGCCCCACGUCGCUUGGCUCUGUCCUUUGCCGCACCUCCGCCACCGUGCCUCCACCGUCUGUCCACAUUGUCGCUCCUCCACGCUGUGCCCUCCGCCGCACUCUGUCCUCCGCUGGCUCUCUGCACAUUGCAUAUGCUACUAAUUAACCUACUACCAAUAACACUCG
rnacentral:misc_RNA from 1 species